CCUANGGGUGGCAGCAGUGGGGAAUAUUGCGCAAUGGGCGAAAGCCUGACGCAGCCACGCCGCGUGGGUGAUGAAGGCCUUCGGGUUGUAAAGCCCUGUCGGGAGGGACGAAGUCCGCAAGGAUUGACGGUACCUCGCAAGAAAGCACCGGCUAACUCCGUGCCAGCAGCCGCGGUAAUACGGAGGGUGCAAGCGUUGCUCGGAUUUAUUGGGCGUAAAGCGCACGCAGGCGGUAUGACAAGUCGGAUGUGAAAUCCCUGGGCUCAACCCAGGACGUGCAUUCGAAACUGGCAUGCUUGAGUUCGAGAGAGGGAAGCAGAAUUCCUGGUGUAGAGGUGAAAUUCGUAGAUAUCAGGAGGAACACCGGUGGCGAAAGCGGCUUCCUGGCUCGACACUGACGCUCAUGUGCGAAAGCGUGGGGAGCAAACAGGAUUAGAUACCCCGNUANUC
rnacentral:rRNA from 1 species